rnacentral:rRNA from 1 species
GACGAACGCUGGCGGCGUGCUUAACACAUGCAAGUCGAGCGGUAAGGCCCCUUCGGGAGUACACGAGCGGCGAACGGGUGAGUAACACGUGAGUAAUCUGCCCUUCACUUCGGGAUAACCACCGGAAACGGUGGCUAAUACCGAAUACGACCAGUCUUCGCAUGAGGUGCUGGUGGAAAGUCUUUUCGGUGAAGGAUGUGCUCGCGGCCUAUCAGCUUGUUGGUGGGGUAAUGGCCUACCAAGGCUUCGACGGGUAGCCGGCCUGAGAGGGUGACCGGCCACACUGGGACUGAGACACGGCCCAGACUCCUACGGGAGGCAGCAGUGGGGAAUAUUGGACAAUGGGCGAAAGCCUGAUCCAGCAACGCCGCGUGAGGGAUGACGGCCUUCGGGUUGUAAACCUCGUUCAGUACCGACGAAGCGCCCUGUCGGGUGGUGACGGUAGGUACAGAAGAAGGACCGGCCAACUACGUG